GGACACUCAUUGUACCUGUGAGGGAGCAGAGGGGCAGGUGUGUGAGAGGGGGCAUCUGCAAGGUCUCCGGGUGUGCAUGGGGCAGAUAGCCCUUGGCCAAGCCCACUGAGCUGCUGGCAGGCAUCUGACUGUGCCCUGUCUUGAGAUACAUAAGGAAUUUUGUGUCUUUUUCACAAAGAAAAUAUGAUGCCAUAAUGAGAAGCCAAUUUUCUUCUAUUGCUUAUUCUGCUUUAAACAAAGCAUGUGACUUUCAAAACAAGCAUGUGGAACCAAUCCAUCAUUAGUCUGGGACCUCCCUUCCUGAUUUUAGCAAAGCAAGUUCCUAAGUACUGUGAGAAAGGCUGUUCUCCUAAUGAUAACACUGAUGACGUUUGCAGAGCUGGGAAGCCUCAUGAGAAAACUUGUUAUGCAGAUUGAGAAGGAUCAGAUAAGCUUCUUCUACUUCAAUGGGAUCAAAAGUGGAGUCACAUUUUAAGAAAGCAUUCAAGCAUUAACAGAGGUUCAGCUGACAUGAAUCAUGCUGGGGAGCUCUGCCAGCCUACAUCUGCUUUGUACCUGCUGCUGCAAAGUUCUCCCAGUGUUCUUUAGAUAAUA